CAGCGCAUCCUUGUUUGGCCAUGAGCAGCAAAACCAUGUGACUUCGGGCUCAAACGAGAACUGUGUGGUAGUGCGCCUGGGUGAGGAGCCGGAGUCAUCAGUCUGCCUCUUUCUGAGCCAAGCUGACAGCCGCAGGCCUGGGAAAGGAAGGCCCAGUUUCAAUUGCUUCCCAGUCCUGGUUACCUUGGUGGCGGGAAGGGUGGGCUUUGGGUGCCGCUCUGUGGAAAUAUUCCUGGGCGCUUUGCCUAAAUAACAAUGACCAAGCAAGGUCCCUGAGUUUUCAAGGAGGAAAGGAGAAGAAAGAGAACCAUAUGGUAUUUGGUCCGCUCAACUGGAGAGGAGAGGACAAGCGUCUUAUAAAAGAGAUGGGACAGCACAGAAGCUCACAUACUUCCCGUGAGGGAUGCUGAGAUGCCACAGGAUGCAGUGAUUCGCCUGGGACUUGCAAAAAGGAGAGGCCUUGCAGACAGACAGGGGGAGCUCGGCUGCUGGCUGCAUGUGAUCUUAGACGCGUCACAUAAGAUCAGUGAGCUUCACUCCCUCACCUGUGAGAUGGGAAUCAUCCUCAUAUGGCUAGUAUGAGGGUUAUAUAACAUACGGAAAAGGCUUCGUGCAGAGCCUGGGACACAAUAAGUGCUCAGUAAACUACAGGCGUACUCA